rnacentral:rRNA from 1 species
UACGUAGGGGGCAAGCGUUGUCCAGAUUUACUGGGCGUAAAGAGCGCGUAGGCGGAGAUCUAAGCGUGGCCUGAAAGCCCCCGGCUCAACCGGGGAGUGCGGCUGCGAACUGGGUUUCUUGAGGACGAUAGAGGAGAGUGGAAUUCCUGGUGUAGCGGUGAAAUGCGUAGAUAUCAGGAGGAACACCCGAGGCGAAGGCGGCUCUCUGGGUCGUACCUGACGCUGAGGCGCGAAAGCGUGGGGAGCGAACGGG